rnacentral:rRNA from 1 species
UGGGGAAUUUUGCACAAUGGGGGGAACCUUGAUGCAGCGACGCCGCGUGAGGGAUGGAGGCCUUCGGGUUGUGAACCUCUUUCGCUCGUGUGCAAGCCGCUAUUUGGGUAGUGGUGAGUGUAGCGGGUAAAGAAGCGCCGGCUAACUACGUGCCAGCAGCCGCGGUAAUACGUAGGGCGCGAGCGUUGUCCGGAUUUAUUGGGCGUAAAGGGCUUGUAGGCGGUUUGUCGCGCCUGUCGUGUAAUCCUCUGGCUUAACUGGGGGUGUGCGGUGGGUACGGGCAGGCUUGAGUGCGGUAGGGGAGAUUGGAAUUCCUGGUGUAGCGGUGGAAUGCGCAGAUAUCAGGAGGAACACCGGUGGCGGAGGCGGGUCUCUGGGCCGUUACUGACGCUGAGGAGCGAAAGCGUGGGGAGCGAACAGG